CCUACGGGUGGCAGCAGUGGGGAAUAUUGCACAAUGGGCGCAAGCCUGAUGCAGCCAUGCCGCGUGUGUGAAGAAGGCCUUCGGGUUGUAAAGCACUUUCAGCGGGGAGGAAGGCGGUGAGGUUAAUAACCUCAUCGAUUGACGUUACCCGCAGAAGACGCACCGGCUAACUCCGUGCCAGCAGCCGCGGUAAUACGGAGGGUGCAAGCGUUAAUCGGAAUUACUGGGCGUAAAGCGCACGCAGGCGGUCUGUCAAGUCGGAUGUGAAAUCCCCGGGCUCAACCUGGGAACUGCAUUCGAAACUGGCAGGCUAGAGUCUUGUAGAGGGGGGUAGAAUUCCAGGUGUAGCGGUGAAAGGCGUAGAGAUCUGGAGGAAUACCGGUGGCGUAGGCGGCCCCCUGGACAAAGACUGACGCUCAGGUGCGAAAGCGUGGGGAGCAAACAGGAUUAGAUACCGAGUAGUC
rnacentral:rRNA from 1 species